GCGGGGCCAAGGGUCCGGGAGCCGAAGGAGGCUAGCAGGCCGCGGCGGGCUGAGGGGCAGGGCGGGAGCGGGGCUCGGAGGGUCGGCCUUGUGGCGCGCCCCCAGCCCUAUGCCGGCCGUCGAGGACCCUGAGCCGUGGGGCAGCCGCCUGGAAGACCCCGGAGGGCAGGCCUGCCGCGUCCGGCCGCGCCUCGGCCCGCCGGCCUCUUAGCCCCCGGGCCUGCCGGCGCCUCCUCUUGACCUUUGGCCUUCGACCCUUGCCCCCACGCCCAGGGCUCGUUCCCCUACUUCCGGGACGAGCCCUGGGGGCCGGAGGCCAGGCUCCGGGCUGGACCCGGGGGCGCCGCUCGCGGAACCCGGAGCCCCGACGCCCCCCACUCCCAGGGACGCGCUUCCAGCCUGUCAGCCCGCCCGCUGCGGGGCAGGCACCCCCGCGAAGCCAGCGGAAACCGGGUUUGCAGGGUGCAAACGAGUCCCGGCAGAAGGGAGCGCGUAGACACGGAAAAUACAGUGGCAGCAAGGGGCGCCUGGGUGGCUCGGUCGGUUAGGCGUCUGCCUUUGGCCGGGGUCCUGGUUCCCGGGGUUCUGGGAUCGAGCCCACCUCGGGCUCCCUGCUCAGUGCAGAGUCGGCCUCUCCCACUCCCCCUGCUCUCGCUCUCACUCACUCUGUCCAGUAUCUUUAAAAAAAAAAGCGGCAGCAAGAUUAUGUAGUUUAUUGAAGUAAGAUUUCAUUUUUAACAGUGACACUUUAAAUGUAUUUAAAUUUUUUUGGUUAUAACACGUAGGUGUUCAGACAUGUAUUACCAGGCCUCCGUUUGACUCUUGUUCAGGUUCUGCAAAUAGCGGAGACGGCAGACAGACAAAUGAAAAGUAAAACACGUUUUUCAAAUAAAUAAUAAAAUCCAAACCAGAAUUGAAUACUCAGAAAAGUUUAUUUCAAGGCUGAGGGUAGAAUAAAGACAUUUCCAUGCAAACAGAUUACCGACCCGGUGCUGAAGGAGGCUGUGUCAGCGUGGGCUACACCCCUGUGACAGGCACACAGAAUGAAAUGGUUCCAGCAUAAAAGAAGUUUUCCUAAGCCCCCAGGGCUGGUGUCGAGGAGAGCAGGUGUUGUCCUCCAUAAAAUUAGGGACAAAGAACAAGUGACAAAAACCAAAAAAAAGAUGUAUUUGUAUUAACCUUCAAAAUAAAAGUCACUUAUUUCACCAGCAAAAAUGGGUUUAUUUGGGAAUAGCAGAGAAUUGCAAUUAGGGACUUGCAAGCUAUAGAAAAACCACGUGCCAGUCCAACAAAGGAGAGGAACUUCAUUUUACGGAGAAGGAGGACAUUGGCAGGGAUUGCUUUGAACUAAAGUCCCUUGGAGAGAAGCAAGAGUUCCGGGUGAAGAGGGCUUCUUGGCUGAGGUGCAGGGGUGGGCCAUUUUUUGUGGAGGCUGUAUGUUCACCUCUUGGGUUCACCACCUGUUGGGGCCUGUAGUUGACUCUCCUGUUGAGGAUUGUUUUGUUAGGGUCUGUAAUUCACAAUUCUUCCUGUAAUCAAUACCAUGGAGUGGUAAUGGCUCCCCCUUCUGGCUCCUGACUCCAUUUUGGACACCAUGAAGAAAGUGAAAGGACAACCCACAGAAUGAGAGAAAAUUUUUGCAAAUCAUAUAUCUGGUGCUGCUUGCCACAAGAAACUAAGGUACAGCCAGAAGCCACAAGCUCCAAACAAGCCCCAGUGACCCAGUUCUGGACCAGUUUGAUUCAGUUCAGACACUGUGCUAACCCUCCAGAUGACCUCAGGACAUUACCGUAUCACUGUAAUAACAAAAACACCUAGGGCCGCCUGGGUGGCUCAGUCGGUGAUCAGGUCAUGAUCUCAGGGUCCUGGUAUCGAGUCCCGUGUUGGGCUUUCUGCUCAGCGGGGAAUCUGCUUCUCCCUCUGCCUCUGCCUGCCACUCUGCCCCUCUCUCGUCAAAUAAAUAAAAUCUUAAAAAAAAAACCCAAACAC